rnacentral:rRNA from 1 species
ACGGGUGAGUAACGCGUGGGAAUCUACCCUGAACUGCGGAAUAGCUCCGGGAAACUGGAAUUAAUACCGCAUGUGCCCUGAGGGGCAAAGAUUUAUCGGUUCAGGAUGAGCCCGCGUCCGAUUAGCUAGUUGGUGGGGUAAAGGCCUACCAAGGCGACGAUCGGUAGCUGGUCUAAGAGGAUGAUCAGCCACAUUGGGACUGAGACACGGCCCAAACUCCUACGGGAGGCAGCAGUGGGGAAUAUUGGACAAUGGGCGCAAGCCUGAUCCAGCCAUGCCGCGUGAGUGAUGAAGGCCCUAGGGUUGUAAAGCUCUUUCAGUGGGGACGAUAAUGACGGUACCCACAGAAGAAGCCCCGGCUAACUUCGUGCCAGCAGCCGCGGUAAUACGGAGGGGGCUAGCGUUGUUCGGAAUUACUGGGCGUAAAGCGCACGUAGGCGGACAUUUAAGUCAGGGGUGAAAUCCCGGGGCUCAACCCCGGAACUGCCUUUGAUACUGGGUGUCUUGAGUUCGGAAGAGGUGAGUGGAAUUGCGAGU